AGCGAACGCUGGCGGCAGGCCUAACACAUGCAAGUCGAGCGCCGUAGCAAUACGGAGCGGCAGACGGGAGAGUAACACGUGGGAACGUACCCUUUGGUUCGGAACAACCCAGGGAAACUUGGGCUAAUACCGGAUAAGCCCUUACGGGGAAAGAUUCAUCGCCGAAGGAUCGGCCCGCGUCUGAUUAGCUAGUUGGUGGGGUAAUGGCCCACCAAGGCGACGAUCAGUAGCUGGUCUGAGAGGAUGAUCAGCCUCACUGGGACUGAGACACGGCCCAGACUCCUACGGGAGGCAGCAGUGGGGAAUAUUGGACAAUGGGCGCAAGCCUGAUCCAGCCAUGCCGCGUGGGUGAUGAAGGCCUUAGGGUUGUAAAGCCCUUUCGGCGGGGAAGAUAAUGACGGUACCCGCAGAAGAAGCCCCGGCUAACUUCGUGCCAGCCGCCGCCGUAA
rnacentral:rRNA from 1 species